GCUAUGUUAUGAAUAGUAAGGAGGUGGGUGAUUGAGGAGGUGGAAUAAGGAGGUGGGAUGGUGUAAUGAUAAUUUUACCCUAGCUUUGAGUGGCCUAUAAAUUCCAAGCCUCAUUUCAUUUUGGUUGCUUGAUCAAAUUUCAUCCAACUCCUCUCAAGAUAAGCUACUUAUUUGGUAGAGAGAAUAAGCCACUUAAGCACUCAUAAGCCACUUCAACCUUUGUUAGAUUUUCCAAAGUGAAUUGAAGUCAUAGUCUUCAAAGGUAAGACUCAUAUCUAUU
rnacentral:lncRNA from 1 species